GAGAAUCUACACAUUCCUCAAAGACCACACUUUGAUUACUCUUCAAUAUAACAUCAGUUUUUCAGUUACAAAUAUACAGAGCGAAACUUGAUGAAAAUAUUACCUCUAAUGUGUGGUUAUAAUAACUCGAUAAAGGUUACUAUCCCCAGCGAUUGUUGAGCAUAUUCUAAUAUUUCCAGCCAGUCAAACUAAGCUUUUCUUGAGGGUAACAUAGAUCCAGUGAUUGUGAAAAGCUUCAAAACAUCACGUCAGAAAGAUGCAAUAUGAUUGUCAGAAUGGUAAUAAUGCCAGGUAGGUAUUUCAUAACCUCGAUAGAUUUAAAUCAAAAUAAUGUCAACUUU